AUACGUAGGGGGCGAGCGUUGUCCGGAAUGAUUGGGCGUAAAGGGCGCGUAGGCGGCCCGGUAAGUCUGGAGUGAAAGUCCUGUUUUUAAGAUGGGAAUUGCUUUGGAUACUGUCGGGCUUGAGUGCAGGAGAGGUAAGUGGAAUUCCCAGUGUAGCGGUGAAAUGCGUAGAGAUAGGGAGAAACACCAGUGGCGAAUGCGACUUACUGGACUGUAACUGACGCUGAGGCGCGAAAGUGUGGGGAGCAAACAGGAUUAGAUACCCUGGUAGUCCACACUGUAAACGAUGAAUGCUAGGUGUAGGGGGUAUCGACCCCUUCUGUGCCGCAGUCAACACAAUAAGCAUUCCGCCUGGGGAGUACGGCCGCAAGGUUGAAACUCAAAUGAAUUGACGGGG
rnacentral:rRNA from 1 species